CCUAUGGUAGCCUUUGCCACAUCGGACA
rnacentral:piRNA from 1 species